rnacentral:lncRNA from 1 species
GAAAAACAAGCUAAGGCCUCCCACUCAUUCUACAUUAUGAACCACCUAAGCUAAAGAUUCUUUUGAGAACAAGGGCUAGCCUGUGGUUUCAUGGCCUUUCUUCCAUUUGGGGUUCUUGCCAAGUGGAAUUUAAAUGACCUCUUAUCAAGAUGGAUAAACCCAAGUUUCCCAGUGCUGGAAUACAGAAAAUGGAUGGACAAGAUGUCUUUUUGUCACUUCCAGCUGGAUCUACCAUGAAAGACGUCAGAGUCCAGGAAGAGAGACUGACUGGGCAACAUGUUAUUCAGAAUUAGAGAAGAUGAUGUGGUGAUGGAAGAAGAGGUCAGAGAGGGAGAUUUGAAGAUGUUGCAGUUCUGGCCUUCAAGAUGGAGUCAGGGGCUAUCUUCAAGAGAGAAGAUCUUGAUCUGUGGCCCAGGCUGCAGUACAGU